ensembl:lncRNA
CCGAGUUGUUUGAGGAUCUGAAGAAACGAGUGUCACAAUUCAACAUGCACAUCAGCGAAACUUCCUCUGACUACACCAGCACGCACGCACAGAACUUCAUAGUGCAGGUGGCGAUUGCAGGCGCAUUUUAUCUAAACUGCUUCCUCCAGGGAACUGUGGACGAGGAGCUCGCCUCCAAGGAACUCUAUGGAAACGACCCCAGGACCACCGUAGUGGUAUUCAGUGUGUAAUCUCCCUCCAUUUGCAUUCCUCUACUAUAAACAGCUCCAGUCUCUCUUCAGACACUGUGGUCAAGUCAAAUCCAUCUCCUUUGACAGCUCCAGGAUUUGUGUGUGUGUGUGUGUGUGUGUGUGUGUGUGUGUGUGUGUGUGUGUGUGUGUGUGUGUGUGUGUGUGUGUGUGUGUGUGUGUGUGUGUGUGUGUGUA